AUGCGACUGUUGGAGGGACUCCCGCUGCAUCCGAAGGGAGCUGCGGCUCUGCUGCACCGGAAGGGGGAGUCCCCCAUUGCGGGUUUAUGGAGGCACGGUUUUUUGCCUCUGAGGGUUCUCCCAGCCUCCGUAGGGGGUUCGCAACUCUGCAGCAGGAGUGCUGCCCCGGAGGGAAAAUGCAGAGCGACCUGGAGAGCCCGUGCAGUGUUCGACGAGAGCUGCGGCUCGCAACGUCUUACCAGCGAGCCCUCCAUGCCGCUUAUGGGAGGAGCACAAUGCCAGAUAUCAAGAAAUGAGGGACUCUUGCUGCCUCCGAAGGGAGCUGCGGCUCUGCUGCACCGGAAGGGAGAGUCCCUCUUGCGGCUGAGUACGAGGCGCAGUUUGUUGCAUCUGAUGGAGGGCUCUCACUGCGACUGAAGGGAGCCAGCGACUGUAUCCCAUCGGGAGGGAGAUCCCUGGCCGCCAUAGAGUAUGCAACAUAACUCGGACGGGGGGUUCACACUGCGACCGAAGGGAGCCGUGGGUCUGCUGCACCAGAAGGGAGAGCCCCGUCAGAUGCUAAAUAGGCAAUGAGAUUCGAGCCGCGGUUUGGCGCGUCGGAUGAAGGGCUCCUAAUGCAACCGAAGGGAGCCAGCGGCUGUACCCCAUCGGGAGGGAGAUCCCUAGCCAUCGUGGAGCAUGCAACAUAACUCAGAUGGGGGGUUCACACUGCGACCGAAGGGAGCUGUGGGUCUGCUGCACCGGAAGAGGAGCCCUAGUCCGAUGCUGAGAAGGCAAAGAGACGCGACUGUUGGAGGGACUCCCGCUGCAUCCGAAGGGAGCUGCGGCUCUGCUGCACCGGAAGGGGGAGUCCCCCAUUGCGGGUUUAUGGAGGCACGGUUUUUUGCCUCUGAGGGUUCUCCCAGCCUCCGUAGGGGGUUCGCAACUCUGCAGCAGGAGUGCUGCCCCGGAGGGGAGAGCCCUGAUUGACGCUAACUAGAAUACGACUGUUGGAGGGACUUUUGCUGCGUCCGAAGGGAGCUGCGGCUCUGCUGCACCGGAAAGGCGAGUCCCCCUUGCGAUGCGAGGCAUGGCUUGAUGCGUCUGAUGGAGGGCUCUCACUGCGACCGAAGGGAGCCAGCAGCUCUAUUCCCCCGGGAGGGAGAACCCUAUCCGCCCUUGAGCAUGCAACAUAACUCAGACGGGGGGUUCACCCUGCGACCGAAGGGAGCCGUGGGUCUGCUGCACCGGAAGGGAGAGCCCCAUCAGAUGCAGAAUAGGCAAGAAGAUUCGAGGAACGGUUUGAUGCAUCAGAUGGAGGGCUCCUGCUGCGACCGAAGGGAGCCAGCGGCUGUGUUCCCCCGGGAGGGAGAUCCCGGUCCGCCCUUGAGCAUGCAACAUAACUCAGACGGGGGGUUCACCCUGCGACCGAAGGGAGCCGUGGGUCUGCUGCACCGGUAGGGGAGCCCCGUCCGAUACGGAGUAGGCAAGAAAACGCGACUGAUGGAGGGACUCUCGCUGCGUCCGAAGGGAGCUGCGGCUCUGCUGCACCGGAAGGGAGAGUCCCCCUUGCGACUGUAUAAGCGGCUUAAUUUGAUGCAUCGGAUGGAGGGCUGUCACAACGACCGAAGGGGGCCUGUGGCUCUGCUGCACCGGGAGGGAUACCCCCAUCUGCCGCUGAGCGCGCAGCGCAACUCAAUGACAGAUGAAAGGCUCACACUGCGACCGAAGGGAGCCACUGCCCGGCUGCACCGGAAGGGAGAGCCCUGUCCGAUGCUGAAAUAGGCAAGGAGAUUGUAACGAUGGCUGGAGGGCCCUUACUUUGGCCGAAGAAACGAUAACUGAGAGGCUUCUAUUAUUCAAGUACACAACAUGAUUUAAGGAGGAAUAUAUAAUUUUUUUUUUUUUUUGAAUGAAUUAAUCAAAAUAGGUAAUUGCACUUACAUCCGAUUCACGAAUUAAUAUCUCUAAAUAUUAAGACGGAACAGUGUUUAAAUGUAAAUCCUGCAUGUUCUGUGUGUCUCUGUUAAUGAAUGGAGCAGGAGCGCGACUUCCUUUUUCACACACACACUGAAGCGCGCAUUACUCUCGCGGUAAUUUCUGCGUCUGCUGUCUCACUAAAUGAGGACUUGAACACAUGAACAACAUCUCCAGAACUGCUCUGACAGUCAGUUCAUGAGCAUUUGACUUUAAGUAAAACUAGCGUCACAUCACAUACACAGAACUGAAAAGGUACGUCAACCCGACUAAAUAAAGGUCCGGGGUCCUGACAUUUUAUCCUACCCAUCAGAUUUACUGUGCAUGCGCACAUCAGUAUAAUUAAGCAACAACACAUUUUGUUACUCGAUUAAUUUUUUUUUUUUUUUUUUUUUAAACCAGAGUCGUUGAUGAAAUGAGGGUCCAUCGUGAAUUUAGAUUGGGCGUUCCGGAGUUAGACAAAAGCGAGCCUGAUGAGGUUGAAUUGGAGAAUGGACAUAAAAUAUAUAUUUUUAUUUAUUUAUUUAUUUAUUUAUUUAUUUUUGAGGCUCUUGCGGCAGCGAGAAUUGCGGCAGUAGGGAAGGAUGGAAAGGGCUCCUGCGGGAGCAGACACUGCUAUGGCAGUGGUGAAAUAUAGGUAGAGGCUCCUGCGGGAGCAGACACUGCUGCGGCAGUGGUGAAAAAACAGAAAAGGCUCCUGCAGGAGCGGACAAUACUGCGGCGAUGGGGAGAUAUAGAGAAGGCUCCUGCGGGAGCGGACAAUGCUGCGGCGGUGGGGAGAUACAGAGAAAGCUCCUGCGGAAGGAUGGCUGAAGUGAGGAUUGACCAUUACAGAUAGAUAGGGCAUGUUAGGAGAGUUAGCUAUGGUAGAUUAGGAGUUUUAGUGAAAGGGGAUGAGCUGGCGUUAGAGGGUUGGCUGAAGAGGGUUCGAGAUAGAUAUAUAAAUAAAAUAAUCGGCCUGACCAAUAAUAGGUCUUGGUACCCUCUGCCUUCUGGCAAAUCUGGAGCUGGAGGCCACUGAACAGAAAAAUGGUUAGUAGCAUGAGGGAGCGGAAGAGUUGAGGGCGCGUUUACGAAUGGAGGCGGCCUCACGUUUGCUUCAGCUGCUGUAGCUGUGGGUCGUGGGAAGGGGCUGGGGUGUGUGAUGUCUUGAAGAACCUGUGUAGCCUGCACUGCUAGCAGAAGUAACAGGAUGAAAAUACUGAGAUGUGCAGGCCCGUGUUGCAAGUAAAAGUAGCUUCAUGCUUGCUUUGGCUGCUGUAGUUGUUGGCUGAUUUGACAAUUGCUCAAACCUUGUCUGAAUUAAUACAAUCCUGUUGGAAAAGCAUCUUUUCCUCUUGUUUUGGCCUUCGGGCCCUUUUUAAACAGCCUCCGGAGCAGAUAAAUUUGGGAUGCUGUUUUCCUGUUGUAGUAUGGACUGUGAAAAUAGAGGCUUUGAAACAAUGUAGCAUGUUUAGUUUUAUAAACCAUUGUACCAAUAGACAUGUCUAUAGCAGUAACGUUAAUUGCAGUAAUUCAAAUUCAAGCCGUUUCUAAAGACAUUUACUUUGCAUGCUUUUCAUAUAACAGUCCUAAAAAGACGAUAGAAAAUUUACUCACACUUGUUGUUCUGCAGCCAAACACGAGGCAGUAGCGUGAAAAAUUCUGAAUAAUCAUGCCAGUAAAUGGUGAAAUAUGUCCCUAAAUAAUUGAUCCUGCCGGAAUAAUUGCAUGAAACUUAUGUCUGUAUCAUCUCAGUGAGGUUUAAACAUGCACAGUAAAGCAAAUGUAAUGUCUUUAGACAUUUCGGUGUGGAUGACAACUCUGCAAAAAGCCUUUGCUUCGUGGUUAAAAAGUGGCAUCGUCAUCGGACAGAGUUAAGUCAUAACGCCGUUUAACAAAUUUUUGCGUCUUCAUAAGCGCAUUCUAUAUAUAACGUCUAUUUAAAUUGUUCAGAUGAGCAAAUCACGAGGUUUUCUUGCAUGAUUAGCAUUUUAAUUGUUUGGUCAGACGGUUCAUAUAUUGAUCUAUAUAUUCACGAUCAUAAAUCGGGGAUUAAACGUGGAAUUUAUCUUUUGUAUGCUAAAUAUGUAAACAAUAUGUGCACAGUACCUAUAACUGCGCUUUACAUUUUGCAAGAUUGACAUGCUAAAUGGCUAACUGACCCGGUUUACUCUCAUCUUAACAAAAUUGAUAAGAGUUCCUUGCGUUUACGAACGACAUGUAUCUGUUUAAUCAACUCGACAUGUAUACCGGUUUAGUCCUUUCGUUCACGAAUGAGAGCUCUCGAUCUCUGAGACUCAUAUGAAACUCGCUCAUUGUGGAUGACAACUCUGAAAAAUUCUUCAUGAAUGAGUGUAAACGGAGAACGAUUCGUUCGCCUAGAAGAUUCAUUCGAAAAAAACGAUUCUUUCACGAACGACAUGCCACUACAACAACGCACGGUCUUCGCCGCUAGUGGAGGCAGCAUCGAACUGCGACACGGCAGAAAAAGCGAGAGAGGUUUACUGCGGGGAGAACUGGAGCACGGCUGCGAUCCAGCAUUAUAAUAGAGCCCGGUCCUGGCGAGAAAAUCGUGUUGCCGAGUGAGGCGAGCUCAAGGAUUUGCACGAGCUUUUGGCCACAACGUGUGGCUUGGCGAGAAGAGCAGCUGACCGAUGACGCUUGUUGGUGUUCGGCGGAUAGAUAUCUUCGUCGGAAGGAAGAUUGGGCCUGUGAUAAGAUGACGGACAGCGCGAACCGAAUGCUGACAGAGCGAACCGAAUGCUGACAGACGGUCUAUGCCGAAAAACUGUCGUGGGACAGGAGGUAGGAAGACUGGAUAUAUAUACGCGUGCGUGCUAUAAGAUGAUUAGCUAAACGAGAUGCACCUGUACCAAAUUGGAUGAUUAUCUGAUCGUGCUUCUCCCGAACUUUGUUAAUAAAACCACAUUAAUCCAACCAAUGGCCAAGACCACCGCUAAAACAUUUAAAAUUUAUUUAGCGAAGGAGUUAUGAUAUCUAAAGCAUACAAAUGUCAAAUCAAAUAAAUAUAUAG
rnacentral:lncRNA from 1 species